rnacentral:rRNA from 1 species
UACGUAGGGUGCUAGCGUUGUCCGGAUUUAUUGGGCGUAAAGGGCUCGUAGGCGGCGUGUCGCGUCGGGAGUGAAAGCCCGUUGCUUAACGGCGGGUUGGCUUUCGGUACGGGCAUGCUGGAGUGCGGCAGGGGAGACUGGAAUUCCCGGUGUAGCGGUGAAAUGCGCAGAUAUCGGGAGGAACACCGGUGGCGAAGGCGGUUCUCUGGGCCUUACCUGACGCUGAGGAGCGAAAGCGUGGGGAGCGAACAGG